CCUGUGUGUGCUAUCAAAAUUUGCAGGAGGUGGUCACUUGGCCCGUCGCGAUGGCACCGGCUUUCCCAAUGGGCACUAUGAUUCAGAACUCCUGAACAAACACCACUUGGCUAAUUUCUUAUAUUUAGUGCCAACUUGGAUGACCCAUGUGCUAUUCUUUUGUCUGCACUGGGGUGCUGUGUUUGGCUGCAGUCGAGAGCUUCAGUAGGAGAUUGGUGACUAAGGGAGCUUAAGGGUUAAAUUCUAUCUAAAGUCUAGUCUUUCUUUCAUUGAACAAUUAACUAAAAGUUGCUGUUCGGGUUGGAAGAAGGUGAGUUUUAGACCAGAGAGGACAGGCCAGUGAGAGCGGUAUAAAAGAGCGUGAAAAACAGAUGCCGAGUCUGGCGAGGAGAGGGGUACCCUCAGGACCUUCAGGCGGUGGAAUUCCAAGUGACGUCAUGAUUCAAAAAGUGACCCGACGCAGGGGAAGCAGCUGAUUGCACAGUGCCACAUGGGGGCCAGCAGAGAAUGGGAGAUGAGGGAUGCUUUGAUAAUGAGACAUUUCAACUGAGGCUUUGCAGGCCUCUCCCAACCAGCAGAACGGAGGUGACAUCUAACUUCUGCCCAGCGCUAUGAAGUAAACACCUCAUACAUUCAAAAGGCUCGCAUCCACAAAUUUCUCUUGGAAGGGCCUCUGAUUUUCAUUGCUGUCCUUUUCAAUAUUGAAUAGUCUACAGUCCAUGCAUAAAGAUGCAACAACCAUAAAAAAUGUGAACCAUUUAAUAAAGAAAAUGUGAACAUGUUCAUA